AGCGAACGCUGGCGGCAGGCCUAACACAUGCAAGUCGAACGAACCUUUCGGGGUUAGUGGCGGACGGGUGAGUAACACGUGGGAACGUGCCUUUAGGUUCGGAAUAACUCAGGGAAACUUGUGCUAAUACCGAAUGUGCCCUUCGGGGGAAAGAUUUAUCGCCUUUAGAGCGGCCCGCGUCUGAUUAGCUAGUUGGUUGAGGUAAUGGCUCACCAAGGCGACGAUCAGUAGCUGGUCUGAGAGAAUGAUCCGCCACAUUGGGACUGAGACACGGCCCAAACUCCUACGGGAGGCAGCAGUGGGGAAUCUUGCGCAAUGGGCGAAAGCAUGACGCAGCCAUGCCGCGUGAAUGAUGAAGGUCUUAGGAUUGUAAAAUUCUUUCACCGGGGACGAUAAUGACGGUACCCGGAGAAGAAGCCCCGGCUAACUUCGUG
rnacentral:rRNA from 1 species